rnacentral:lncRNA from 1 species
AUUUUGUAUUGCUAUUACAUUAGCAGAUGACAAACAUAAGAAUCUUUUCAAGCACAACGGAAUAAGUAAAAGAUCCCCUUCAUUGAUAUAUUCAUAAUCAAACAUACAUUGUUCGUAGAGUUAGUUUGGUUGUAAGCAGUUAAAACAUACAUAGCAGUUAUAGCAGUUAUAAUACAUAAUGUAAAUGACAUAAUGUAAAAGACACAAGG